rnacentral:lncRNA from 1 species
AUGGUGUUCAGGUGGUGCUCAGUGGUGCUCAGAUGGUGCUCAGUGGUGCUCAUGGUGCUCAGGUGGUGCUCAGUGGUGCUCAGUGGUGCUCAGGUGGUACUCAGUAGUGCUCAGGUGGUGCUCAGUGGUGCUCAUGGUGCUCAGGUGGUGCUCAGUGGUGCUCAUGAUGCUCAGUGGUGCUCAGAUGGUGCUCAGGUGGUGCUCAGUAGUGCUCAGGUGGUGCUCAUGGUGCUCAGGUGGUGCUCAGUAGUGCUCAGGUGGUGCUCAGUGGUGCUCAUGGUGCUCAGGUGGUGCUCAUGGUGCUCGGUGGUACUCAGAUGGUGCUCAGGGCCCAGCCACCUGCUGGCAUCUGCACUGCUGGGAACCGGGAAGGGAGCCGUUCCCCUUCCACCCAGGAGGCCACACUUGCCCUCCGAUUCCUCUACCUCUGCACCCUUCCCAGGACUACCUCACCCGGGCCUCCGUGUCUACAGCAAAACUUCAUCUCCUGAACACGUGCAGCUGGGGGGGCUGCCCAACGGCAGCAGGCUGCUGGUAAGGCGGUCACGCUUCCUUUGCAAACCUCGCACUGCUGUGUGGUCCUGGGAAGCAGGUGAAGGACCCCUUCCCUCCCUCCCUCCCUCCCGUGCUCCCCACUGGGCCCUGCUGGUGCCCGGGGCAUCCGCCUCCUUACCAGUGCGUCCAGCUCCCAGGCCACUUCCCCUCUCAGCACGGUCUUGCCCUUGGGGCCACCCUCUCGAGGCUCCAUGCCCCGCUACCUGCCGGGCCUCGCAACCGCUGAACCACUGUGGCCCCUGCAGGUUAAGGGUCACUUCUCUCAGGGGUCACAGUGCUGGGAAGCGACACGAAGGGCUGGGGGCUCUGGCCUCAGGGGACUCCUACUCCUGUAUACACGAGAUGUGUAAUCCAGACCCUGCAGUCUACAUGCUGGAGCUUCAGGUUCCUCAGUUCAACUCAGUAAGUACUGAGCACCUGCUGUGUACACAUUCACACUUGGGGGGGCGGGGAGCGAAGCUAAGACAGCACCCUGCUCUCCAAAAGCCACGAGUUCGAAGGGCGACGAUGCAAACAGGUGAAGGGGAGACUUGA